CAAUCAAACCGGGAGAUAGCUGGUUCUCCCCGAAAGCUAUUUAGGUAGCGCCUCGUGAAUUCAUCUCCGGGGGUAGAGCACUGUUUCGGCUAGGGGGCCAUCCCGGCUUACCAACCCGAUGCAAACUGCGAAUACCGGAGAAUGUUAUCACGGGAGACACACGGCGGGUGCUAACGUCCGUCGUGAAGAGGGAAACAACCCAGACCGCCAGCUAAGGUCCCAAAGUCAUGGUUAAGUGGGAAACGAUGUGGGAAGGCCCAGACAGCCAGGAUGUUGGCUUAGAAGCAGCCAUCAUUUAAAGAAAGCGUAAUAGCUCACUGGUCGAGUCGGCCUGCGCGGAAGAUGUAACGGGGCUAAACCAUGCACCGAAGCUGCGGCAGCGAACGUAUCACCCAAGACAACUUUACGGAGUUGACGAUUGACGGAGCGAAGCGACGUCAAAGCGUUCAUUAAAGUCGAGUUGGCUUAGGGAUACGUUCGUUGGGUAGGGGAGCGUUCUGUAAGCCUGUGAAGGUGUGUCGUGAGGCAUGCUGGAGGUAUCAGAAGUGCGAAUGCUGACAUAAGUAACGAUAAAGCGGGUGAAAAGCCCGCUCGCCGGAAGACCAAGGGUUCCUGUCCAACGUUAAUCGGGGCAGGGUGAGUCGACCCCUAAGGCGAGGCCGAAAGGCGUAGUCGAUGGGAAACGGGUUAAUAUUCCCGUACUUGGUGUUACUGCGAAGGGGGGACGGAGAAGGCUAUGUUGGCCGGGCGACGGUUGUCCCGGUUUAAGCGUGUAGGUGUGUGUUCCAGGUAAAUCCGGUUCACUUUAACACUGAGGCGUGACGACGAGGCACUACGGUGCUGAAGCAACAAAUGCCCUGCUUCCAGGAAAAGCCUCUAAGCAUCAGGUAACAUCAAAUCGUACCCCAAACCGACACAGGUGGUCAGGUAGAGAAUACCAAGGCGCUUGAGAGAACUCGGGUGAAGGAACUAGGCAAAAUGGUGCCGUAACUUCGGGAGAAGGCACGCUGACACGUAGGUGAAGUGAUUUACUCAUGGAGCUGAAGUCAGUCGAAGAUACCAGCUGGCUGCAACUGUUUAUUAAAAACACAGCACUGUGCAAACACGAAAGUGGACGUAUACGGUGUGACGCCUGCCCGGUGCCGGAAGGUUAAUUGAUGGGGUCAGCGCAAGCGAAGCUCCUGAUCGAAGCCCCGGUAAACGGCGGCCGUAACUAUAACGGUCCUAAGGUAGCGAAAUUCCUUGUCGGGUAAGUUCCGACCUGCACGAAUGGCGUAAUGAUGGCCAGGCUGUCUCCACCCGAGACUCAGUGAAAUUGAACUCGCUGUGAAGAUGCAGUGUACCCGCGGCAAGACGGAAAGACCCCGUGAACCUUUACUAUAGCUUGACACUGAACAUUGAGCCUUGAUGUGUAGGAUAGGUGGGAGGCUUUGAAGUGUGGACGCCAGUCUGCAUGGAGCCGACCUUGAAAUACCACCCUUUAAUGUUUGAUGUUCUAACGUGGACCCGUAAUCCGGGUUGCGGACAGUGUCUGGUGGGUAGUUUGACUGGGGCGGUCUCCUCCUAAAGAGUAACGGAGGAGCACGAAGGUUGGCUAAUCCUGGUCGGACAUCAGGAGGUUAGUGCAAUGGCAUAAGCCAGCUUGACUGCGAGCGUGACGGCGCGAGCAGGUGCGAAAGCAGGUCAUAGUGAUCCGGUGGUUCUGAAUGGAAGGGCC
rnacentral:rRNA from 1 species